UACAGAGGUCCCGAGCGUUGUUCGGAUUCACUGGGCGUAAAGGGUGCGUAGGUGGCGUGGUAAGUUCGAUGUGAAAGCUCAGGGCUUAACCCUGAAAUGGCAUUGAAUACUACUAUGCUGGAGGUUUGGAGGGGGGACUGGAAUUCUUGGUGUAGCAGUGAAAUGCGUAGAUAUCAAGAGGAACACCAGUGGCGAAGGCGAGUCCCUGGACAACACCUGACACUGAGGCACGAAAGCUAGGGGAGCAAACAGG
rnacentral:rRNA from 1 species